rnacentral:rRNA from 1 species
UACGUAGGGUGCGAGCGUUAAUCGGAAUUACUGGGCGUAAAGCGUGCGCAGGCGGUUCGCCAAGUCAGACGUGAAAUCCCCCGGCUUAACCUGGGAACUGCGUCUGAUACUGAAAGGCUUGAAUCCGGGAGAGGGAUGUGGAAUUCCAGGUGUAGCGGUGAAAUGCGUAGAUAUCUGGAGGAACACCGGUGGCGAAGGCGGCAUCCUGGACCGGCAUUGACGCUGAGGCGCGAAAGCUAGGGGAGCAAACGGG